rnacentral:lncRNA from 1 species
UAAAAUCUUAAGGAUAUGAGGGACUUGUUUUGCCAGUUUCUUCUUUGUCUUUGAGAUGGAAAUAGCUGCUUCAUGUCAUCCAUUGUACCUUUCAACCCCUGGGCUGGAAAGAAGUUGUGUUGACAGUGAUUUCAGGUAAUACAUACGUCACCUGAAGUUGGAUCACCAUGGGAAAGAAGAAAGGAAGAAUUUCUAGCAGAAAGCAGAGCAAGCAGUUCUAGAAGUUGACUGUGGAGGUCCCUGAAGGAGAGAAAGGAAGCAUGAGUUUUAAAUGGGAAUGAUCAAG